GAUGAAGAACGCAGCGAAAUGCGAUAAGUAAUGUGAAUUGCAGAAUUCAGUGAAUCAUCGAAUCUUUGAACGCACAUUGCGCCCCCUGGUAUUCCGGGGGGCAUGCCUGUCCGAGCGUCAUUACAACCCUCAAGCUCAGCUUGGUGUUGAGCCCCGCCGCCCCGGCGGGCCCUAAAGUCAGUGGCGGUGCCGUCCGGCUCCGAGCGUAGUAAUUCUUCUCGCUCUGGAGGUCCGGUCGUGUGCUCGCCAGCAACCCCCAAUUUUUUUCAGGUUGACCUCGGAUCAGGUAGGGAUACCCGCUGAACUUAAGCAUAUCAAUAAGCGGAGGA
rnacentral:misc_RNA from 1 species